UUGAACCGGCUGCGAUCUGUAAGCAGCUGAUUUUAAUGUGUGCUUGAUUUUCAGCCUUUGCUCUGGGAGCUGAUGAAGGCCAAAGCUAAACCGCAUCAUGGAAACAGGAGAAGCGGUGGGGAUUGGUCUUGGAGUGUUCAGUUUUGGCGUACUUGUUGCUGGUUUACUUUGUUGCCUGUAUAAAUGGAAAAAAGGUAGAGGAGGAACAGAAAACAACGUGGAAAUGACCAAGGCGUCGAAGGGAAAGCAGCUGAUGCACAACAGGAGGAAGUCUGAGAGCGAAGUUCCUCCUAAGCCCUCGCCUGUGAUGAACAGGAAAUUUGGAAGCAUGACUGACAUCUCUAGCCGACUUCUAGAAGGAAUAACUCAGUAACUUUUGCCUUCCAGAGACAUCUGGCUGACUUUGAGGAUGUUCUGAAUCCGUCAGCACCCGGGAGCCUGCCACAAUGCCGAUAUUUAAUUACUUAAUCAAUAUAACAAUUCCUCAAUCCCU